UAGUCCACGCCCUAAACGAUGUUUACUCGAUCUUUGUGAUACACUAUAAGGGUCCAAGCGAAAGCGUUAAGUAAACCACCUGGGGAGUACGUUCGCAAGAAUGAAACUCAAAGGAAUUGACGGGGGUCCACACAAGCGGUGGAGCAUGUGGUUUAAUUCGAUGAUACGCGAGGAACCUUACCUAGGCUCUAAUGCGCGCGCUAUUCUGUGAAAGCAGAAGUUCCUUCGGGACGCAAAGCAAGGUGCUGCAUGGUUGUCGUCAGCUCGUGCCGUGAGGUGUUGGGUUAAGUCCCAUAACGAGCGCAACCCCUAUUCUUAGUUGCCAGCGGAUAAUGCCGGGGACUCUAAGAAAACUGCCAGUGUAAACUGAGAGGAAGGUGGGGAUGACGUCAAAUCAUCACGGCCCUUACGUCCUGGGCUACACACGUGCUACAAUGGUCUGUACAGAGAGUUGCUAACUGGUGACAGUGUGCUAAUCUCUAAAGCAGGCCUCAGUUCGGAUUGGAGU
rnacentral:rRNA from 1 species